GGCUGGCUCGGGCCUCUAGUUAGGAAGCCUCGAGGAUGCCUUCCUGCUGAUGUGUUCCAGGAGGCGUCCCACUGGGAAGAGGCUGGACUGGAAACACCUCGCGAUUUAAUUUAAAGGAUUAACCCUACAAAGUUGUUUUUUUGUCACAUAUGAUGGGCAAAAAGGGACAUAAUUAAGGAUUAUCUCUCGCACACACAACUGAAAUCCUCUCAAAAAACACUAUUCAAACACUCACACACUACAAACUACUGAAACACACACACACACGACUGAAACACUCAUGCACACCGCUAAAACGCUCUCACACAUAUUACUCAAACACUCGCAUCCGAUACUCAAACGCUCUCACACACUACCGAAACAGUCAUAUAAACUAUUGAAACACUCAUUCACACUACUGAGAUGCUCUCACACACAACUGAAACACUCACACUCAGUGCUGAUAUUUCUUUCACUACUGAAAGGCUCUUACACACAGUACUAAAACGCUCUGACACACACUCGUGAAUUAUUUUUCACACACAUUCACUACUGAAACACUCUUAAACACAACUGAAAAUGAAGGUUAGGUUUGGUGAACUGAGCGCUUCCCCACCAGGCACAGGAGGAAUUGACCCCCCGCCCUGAGGGGAAGGAUGGUGCACGGUCCAUCCACCCUCGGUUCUGCCUUCCGUAACCCUGGUCCCAAUCCCUGGUGUAUGUGGACUGGCGGCGCCGGCGACUGAGUGAGAAUGGCAGCUGACUGAGAUCUCCCACAAAGAACUCCUCACAUCUGUCCUCCAUUGUUGUGGGGAGGGAUGCCUCAGGUCCUGACGGUUGACACAAGGCAGCUGGACAGCGUCAGGGGAAGCUGUGGCGAAGGAUGCCUCCUGAAGUCCACGAUCAUCUCUACAGUCUUGAGCGUGCUCAGCUCCAGGUUGUGUCGGCUUCAGUGUAUCAGUCGCCAUUUGGAACAGGAAGGGGCCAUUUGGAACAGGAAGGGGCCAUCUUCAAACUGUUUCCACAAAGUUGGAAAUGUCCAAA